rnacentral:rRNA from 1 species
UACCAGCUCUCCGAGUUGUAGGGAUGAUUAUUGGGCUUAAAGCGUCCGUAGCCGGCUUGGCAAGUCUCCUGUUAAAUUCAGCGACCUAAUCGUUGAGCCGCGGGAGAUACUACUAGGCUAGGAGGCGGGAGAGGUCGACGGUACUUUCGGGGUAGGGGUGAAAUCCUAUAAUCCCGGGAGGACCACCAGUGGCGAAGGUUGUCGACUAGAACGCGCUCGACGGUGAGGGACGAAAGCUGGGGGAGCGAACCGGAUUAGAUACCCGGGUAGUCCCAGCUGUAAACGAUGCGGGCUAGGUGUUGGGGUGGCUACGGGCCACUUCAGUGCCGCAGGGAAGCCAUUAAGCCCGCCGCCUGGGGAGUACGGCCGCAAGGCUGAAACUUAAAGGAAUUGGCGGGGGAGCACCACAAGGCGUGAAGCUUGCGGUUC